rnacentral:rRNA from 1 species
GGGCGGGGGGGGGGGGGGGCUAAUACUUGCAAGUCGAACGAACUCUGGUAUUGAUUGGUGCUUGCAUCAUGAUUUACAUUUGAGUGAGUGGCGAACUGGUGAGUAACACGUGGGAAACCUGCCCAGAAGCGGGGGAUAACACCUGGAAACAGAUGCUAAUACCGCAUAACAACUUGGACCGCAUGGUCCGAGCUUGAAAGAUGGCUUCGGCUAUCACUUUUGGAUGGUCCCGCGGCGUAUUAGCUAGAUGGUGGGGUAACGGCUCACCAUGGCAAUGAUACGUAGCCGACCUGAGAGGGUAAUCGGCCACAUUGGGACUGAGACACGGCCCAAACUCCUACGGGAGGCAGCAGUAGGGAAUCUUCCACAAUGGACGAAAGUCUGAUGGAGCAACGCCGCGUGAGUGAAGAAGGGUUUCGGCUCGUAAAACUCUGUUGUUAAAGAAGAACAUAUCUGAGAGUAACUGUUCAGGUAUUGACGGUAUUUAACCAGAAAGCCACGGCUAACUACGUGCCAGCAGCCGCGGUAAUACGUAGGUGGCAAGCGUUGUCCGGAUUUAUUGGGCGUAAAGCGAGCGCAGGCGGUUUUUUAAGUCUGAUGUGAAAGCCUUCGGCUCAACCGAAGAAGUGCAUCGGAAACUGGGAAACUUGAGUGCAGAAGAGGACAGUGGAACUCCAUGUGUAGCGGUGAAAUGCGUAGAUAUAUGGAAGAACACCAGUGGCGAAGGCGGCUGUCUGGUCUGUAACUGACGCUGAGGCUCGAAAGUAUGGGUAGCAAACAGGAUUAGAUACCCUGGUAGUCCAUACCGUAAACGAUGAAUGCUAAGUGUUGGAGGGUUUCCGCCCUUCAGUGCUGCAGCUAACGCAUUAAGCAUUCCGCCUGGGGAGUACGGCCGCAAGGCUGAAACUCAAAGGAAUUGACGGGGGCCCGCACAAGCGGUGGAGCAUGUGGUUUAAUUCGAAGCUACGCGAAGAACCUUACCAGGUCUUGACAUACUAUGCAAAUCUAAGAGAUUAGACGUUCCCUUCGGGGACAUGGAUACAGGUGGUGCAUGGUUGUCGUCAGCUCGUGUCGUGAGAUGUUGGGUUAAGUCCCGCAACGAGCGCAACCCUUAUUAUCAGUUGCCAGCAUUAAGUUGGGCACUCUGGUGAGACUGCCGGUGACAAACCGGAGGAAGGUGGGGAUGACGUCAAAUCAUCAUGCCCCUUAUGACCUGGGCUACACACGUGCUACAAUGGAUGGUACAACGAGUUGCGAACUCGCGAGAGUAAGCUAAUCUCUUAAAGCCAUUCUCAGUUCGGAUUGUAGGCUGCAACUCGCCUACAUGAAGUCGGAAUCGCUAGUAAUCGCGGAUCAGCAUGCCGCGGUGAAUACGUUCCCGGGCCUUGUACACACCGCCCGUCACACCAUGAGAGUUUGUAACACCCAAAGUCGGUGGGGUAACCUUGUAGGAAACCAGCCGCCUAAAGGUGGUACCCAGAAUGUUG